UACGUAGGUGGCAAGCGUUGUCCGGAAUUAUUGGGCGUAAAGCGCGCGCAGGCGGUCCUUUAAGUCUGAUGUGAAAGCCCACGGCUCAACCGUGGAGGGUCAUUGGAAACUGGGGGACUUGAGUGCAGGAGAGAAAAGUGGAAUUCCACGUGUAGCGGUGAAAUGCGCAGAUAUCAGGAGGAACACCCGUGGCGAAGGCGGCUCUCUGGGACGGUACUGACGCUGAGACGCGAAAGCGUGGGGAGCGAACAGG
rnacentral:rRNA from 1 species